GUUUGAGUGGAAAAAUUGAUUAUUUCUCUCUGUUUUAAAGACAGAACCAAAUGAAAUACAAGCAAACAAGUUUGAGACGUAAACCUUAACAGUCCUGGGAGGACAUCAGUGUUUGAUGCUUGAAUGAGGGGAAGGAAGCACAGCUGUGUUAACUGCUUUCACAAAUUUAAUCUUAGACCUCCAAACCUGGCAGAAAAGAGACUGCAGCGGCACAGUCUGAGCCCCGCGGGGGAACUGGGCAGCACAGUAGCUGCGGGAAGGACUUCCACCCAGGACGCAGCGGCCAAGCCCCUGCAGCCUGGAAGCCUGCCACCUGUUUUCCGCAAGGCCACCCGCUGACUAUGGAAGAGCCACAUUCCCUGGCGCAAUUUUAAUGUAGAAAGACACAUUUAGAAAUAAAGUGGUGUCAGUGCUCAGGCUUGGAAGUAAGUCUGUUGGGAUUUCAUUUCUCUCUGUGGUUUCUCUUCCCUGAUUUCACUUUCUUCAUUUUCAUAGGCUUGUUUUAAGUAUUAAAGGGUAAAAUCAAUCUGAAGUGCUUAGCACAUUGCCUGGAACAUAGCUAAGUAGUGAAUACUCGUUAAGUGCUUUUAUGAUGAUUAUUAGAAAUGCGAUUUUAUUAUAAUGGCUUGAGGAAUGUGUUCAAGAUCCAGAGUAACAAAAAUUAGAUAAUAUUCAAGGGUAGCAUGAUCAUGCUGAAAGCAUCAUCUCAAUGGAAUAUUUUUCUAAUUCAGUGCAUAAGAAUUUCAGGUGGCAUUUAAUUUACACAAAGUACCACAGUUUAUUCAAGUACCAGAAUGAUGAUUUUAGAAUCUUUAGAGAAUGCAAUAUAUUUAUGUGAAGUCAUGUAGUGUUUUAGAAAAUUAUAUAUUGGCACUAUUCAUACUCCCAAGUUUACUUUUUUUUUUUUUAACUCAAAGAUAUUUGUGGUUAUUGGAAAGUCAGUAACUCAGAGUGGCUCUUCCAGUCACUGAAAAUAUCAUGAGGUUUAUUCUCUGAAUAUAAGAAAUAUUCUCUAGCUUAUUUUUCAUUACGCAUUGUCUUCAACUUCAGUAAAGGAAAGGAUCUCUUGUUUACUGACUUGACAGACCUCUUCUAGUUAUUUUUAACAUAUUUUUACCAAAUAUUACAUAUUUUACAUGUUGGUUCUUCUCUUUCUCAAAGUAACUCAUGGUCAUGCUAGCAAAUUACAAAACGAAAAAUUGAAAUUGUAAAAAAUUCACUUAUCACAUAACUUUGAUAAUUUCCUUAGACUUAGUAGGCCAACUAAUUAUAUUUAAAUUUUAAUUGCUUUGAUUAUGCAAUAUUGUCCAAUUUUUCACAUCCCAAAUGUUACAUAUACAUUCAAUUCUAUUAGAUAUUAACUCUUUAUAAACAUAUUUUAAUAAUUCAUAAUGGUACCAGGAUUAUACCUGUCACAGGACAGGUUCUUUUUCAUUGUUCAAUUAGUAGAUUGUUUUUAAUUUCUCAUUGUAAAUAAUUUGAAAUGAAUAUAUUAUUCCUUAUUUUCUUCCUUCCUUUAGUAGUAUAUUUUCUGUAUACUUUUAUUCCACAUUUUUCAUCGCUAUCUUUAUUCUUAUCCAUGAUUAAAAUAUAUUAGUUUAU
rnacentral:lncRNA from 1 species